AAUUUGAAGUCUAAACAUAUUCUAGGUCCAAUCCUUCUUUGGUUGCCAAAAUAGAAUUCUAGACACCACCACAUCCAUCUCCUGUAGACCAGAAAAUCCAGCAUUAGCAUCUCAAGACAUGAACCCCCCUCAUUCUCCUUCUUCUGUUAGAUAAUUUAAUUUUUUUUAUAUCUGGAUCGUGCUCUGAUAUUCAUGCAAAAAUCAAAAUCAUAAAUAAAUUAUACCUUGCGCCAUCGUCUCACCAAUAUAAUGAUCAUAUAGCCCGC
rnacentral:lncRNA from 1 species